UGGGUGCAGGACCACUACGGGUAGGUCAUGGGCCUCUGGAUCCCCACCCUGCUCAUCGCACUGGGCAUCGUGAGUUUUUUUCUGGGAUCCAGUUCCUAUAGAGUGCAGAAGCCUCUCGGAAGCCCACUGGUAAGUGUUUGCCAGGUCAUCGUCGCGGCUGUCCAGAAGCGGAAUGUAGAUUUGCCUCGUGAUGCUUCUCUUCUUUAUGAGCUACCUGAGGAUGUGCCAAUGGCGGAGGGUACCAAGAAAUUGCAGCAUACACCGGUGAUCUGUUUCCUGGACAAGGCUGCAGUGAUCUCUUCGGCCGAAGAACUUUACUCGCCAUGGAGGCUUUGCACAGUCAUACAACUCGAGGAGCUCAAGAUCGUAAUCGGCAUGCUCCCGAUCUGGGCCACCGGUAACGUCUUCUUCGCCAUCCUCGCGCAGUUCUCCUCGAUGUUCCUGGUGCAAGGAAGGAUGAUGGACAUGAUGGUCGGCACCUUCGCCAUCCCUACGGUGUCCUUGGCUUGCUUUGACGCCGUGAGCGUCAUCCUCUUUGUGCCCGUCUACGACAGGGUGGUCAUCCCGGCAGCGAGGAGGUUCACCGAUAACGAGCGGGGGUUCUCGGAGCUGCGGUGGUUCGGCAUCGGCCAAUCAUGGCUGCUGACACUGGUCAUGGCGGCCGCUGCGGUGGUGGAGACGCGGCGCUUGGUGCUUGGCCGGAUGUGCAUUCUGUGGCACGUGCCACAGUAUCUCCUGGUCGGUGCCAGUGUCGUGUUCGCGUGUGUCGGGCAGUCGGAGUUCUUCUACAAUGAGGCUCCGGUGUCCAUGAGGAGCCUUUGCACUGCGCUAGGGCUCCUCACGGUGUCGCUCGGUAGCUACCUCAGCUCGCUCGUGGUAACCCUGGUGUCCAGCAUCACGACAAGGGGCGUUGAGCCCGGGUGGAUGCCUAACAACCUUAACGUGGGCCACCUCGACCGCUUAUUCUGGCUCGUUGCUGCGCUUAGCUCGUUGAAUCUAGCGGUUUUUGUCUGUUGUGCGAAGAGAUACAAAACCUCGAAGCAGGCUUGUUAG
rnacentral:rRNA from 1 species